rnacentral:rRNA from 1 species
UACAGAGGUGGCAAGCGUUGUUCGGAAUUACUGGGCGUAAAGGGCGAGUAGGUGGCCAUCUAAGUCAGACGUGAAAUCCCCCGGCUUAACCUGGGAACUGCGUCUGAUACUGGACGGCUAGAGUUUGGGAGAGGGAUGCAGAAUUCCAGGUGUAGCGGUGAAAUGCGUAGAUAUCUGGAGGAAUACCGGUGGCGAAGGCGGCAUCCUGGACCAACACUGACACUGAACCGCGAAAGCUAGGGGAGCAAAC